CCUGUUUAUCAAAAACAUUGUCUCAUGUAUAGUAUAUGAGAUAAUACCUGCCCAGUGACACAAUGUUCAACGGCCGCGGUAUCCUAACCGUGCAAAGGUAGCAUAAUCACUUGCCUAUUAAUUGUAGGCUAGAAUGAAUGGGUUAACGAAAUAAAGACUGUCUCAAUUAAUUAACUAAAAAUUAUUCUCUAUCUGAAGAAAGAUAGAUAAACUCGAAGGACAAGAAGACCCUAUAGAGCUUUAUACUCCACAUAGAAUAGUAACUAUAAAAGUAUUCGGUUGGGGCGACCCAGGGAAAACAAUCACCCACUAUACAAAAGAUCAAUUAAUCAAAUAAAUGACCCUUUAAAGAUCAUAAGACCAAGCUACCUUAGGGAUAACAGGCUAAUCCCACUCAAGAGUCCUUAUCAACAGUGGGGUUUGGCACCUGGAUGUUGGAUUAGGGUAUCUAUAUAGCGCAAAAGUUAUAUAAAGAUGGUUUGUUCAACCAGUAAUUCCCUACGUGAUC
rnacentral:rRNA from 1 species